rnacentral:lncRNA from 1 species
AAGGGAGUGUGAGUAGGAGAUAUGAUGUGAUAAACAGUUAUAAAUACAAAUAUAAAUAGCGUUGUGUAUUGCACUGGUUUACUCUCUGGGGGGUGAUUUAGCUGUUCAUGAGGUAGAUGGCCUGAGGAAAGAAACUUUUCUUGUGCCUGGCUGUCCUGGUGGUCAGUGCUCUGUAGCGCCGGCCAGAUGGCAAAGGUUCGAAGAGGAAGUGGCCUGAUGAUCCAUCACAUGUGGUGUCGUUAGCUAAUUGUUUUACUUGUAUAAAAUUAUGGAUGAGUAAAAAUUUUUUAUCUCUAAAUGCCAGUAAAACAGGUACUUGUGGUGGAUGGUGAUGCCAAAACUCUCAACAUAAUCACGUCAAUCUUUACAACAAAUGGUUUUACCUUCAAGCGUCCGGAUUGUGUCAAGGAUUUGGGUGUCCUGCUGGAUGGAAAGCUGUCAUUUGUAUCGCAUGUAAAUGCUUUGACUAAGUCGUGCUUCCUUCAAUUAAGAAGCAUAGCUAAAAUGCGGCAAUUCCUUUGUAGACGGGAUUCUGAGAAACUGGUUCAUGCUUUUGUUUCUAGCAGGCUGGAUUACUGUAAUGCUUUAUUGUCGGGUUGUCUGUACCAGACUGUAUCCAGGCUACAGUUGGUACAAAAUGCUGCUGCGAGAAUUGUUACUAGAACUAGGAAGUACGACCAUAUAACACCGGUACUUAAAUCCUUGCAUUGGCUCCCGGUCUCCUAUAGAGUUGAUUAUAAAAUCCUACUUUUGACCUAUAAGGCAAUACAUGGCAUUGCUCCGGCUUACCUUUGUGAGACCAUUAAUUUUUAUAUCCCAGGACGAUAUCUCCGUUCAUUAGAUGUAGGUUACCUUAAAGUACCUGUGAUCAAUAAGACCUCAGUAGGAGGUCACGCCUUUAGUUAUAGAGCACCUAAACUGUGGAAUAGUCUACCAGUUACUGUCAGAAAUGCCCCAUCUGCUUCUGUUUUCAAAUCCUGACUAAAGACUUACAUGUUCACUCAGG